ACGAACGCUGGCGGCGUGCUUAACACAUGCAAGUCGAACGAGAUCCCGACCGAGCGAAUCUUCGGAAGAGCGAGGGAGGGUGAAAGUGGCGAACGGGCGAGUAACGCGUGGGCAAUCUGCCCUUCACAGGGGGAUAACACCGGGAAACCGGUGCUAAUACCGCAUAAACCGGCAGCACCGCAUGGUGCAACCGGCAAAGGAGUAAAAUCCGGUGAAGGAUGGGCCCGCGUCCAAUUAGCUAGUUGGUGAGGUAAAGGCUCACCAAGGCGACGAUGGGUAGCUGGUCUGAGAGGAUGGUCAGCCACACUGGAACUUAGAUACGGUCCAGACUCCUACGGGAGGCAGCAGUGGGGAAUCUUGGGCAAUGGGCGAAAGCCUGACCCAGCGACACUGCGUGGGUGAUGAAGAUCUUUGGAUUGUAAAACCCUUUUCCUGAAGAUGAAAGGUAGGAUUGAGAAUAUCCUUCCUACCCUGACAGUAUUCAGGGAAUAAGCCCCAGCCAACUACGUG
rnacentral:rRNA from 1 species